ACGGGCACUGUAAGGCGAUGGUAAGUUGAGAGAGAUAAAAAUGAGAGAGCCUUAUUAGUGAAAACCCUUACUGUAUUGUAAGAUGACUGUGAGUUAAGAGAAAUGAAAAUAAGUGAGUCUCAUUGGUGAAAAAACCUUACGGACACCAAAAGGAAAUAGUGAGCAUAGAAAAAGAAAAUGAGAGAGGCUUGUUGGUGAAAACCCUUCAAGGUGCCACAAGACGAAUAAGGUCUCUGAAUACGAAUUAGCCCAGGAAAGUAAAUCAAUUGUAGGGCCAUUAAAUCCGCAAAAAUUGGUGAAACUUUGGAGGGAAAGAUCGGGCAGCUUAAUCCAAAAUGCAUGUCAUAAUCAUUAGAGUUGUGUAACACCCCGCCG
rnacentral:lncRNA from 1 species